UCCUAAAGUAAGUAGGGCUUGCCUGCUAAGCCUCGUCUACACCAUGUCUUUUGAGUACCUUCUGUUUCCUCGGCGGCGCAAGCCCGCCGAUUGGACAAUUAAAACCAUUUUGUCAGUUGCAAUCAGCGUCUGAAAAAACUUAAUAUUUA
rnacentral:misc_RNA from 1 species